AUUGAACGCUGGCGGCAUGCCUUACACAUGCAAGUCGAACGGCAGCGGACCUUCGGGUGCCGGCGAGUGGCGAACGGGUGAGUAAUAUAUCGGAACGUACCUUUCAGUGGGGGAUAACGUAGCGAAAGUUACGCUAAUACCGCAUAUUCUGUGAGCAGGAAAGCAGGGGAUCGCAAGACCUUGCGCUGACUGAGCGGCCGAUAUCAGAUUAGCUAGUUGGUGAGGUAAAGGCUCACCAAGGCGACGAUCUGUAGCGGGUCUGAGAGGAUGAUCCGCCACACUGGAACUGAGACACGGUCCAGACUCCUACGGGAGGCAGCAGUGGGGAAUUUUGGACAAUGGGCGCAAGCCUGAUCCAGCCAUGCCGCGUGAGUGAAGAAGGCCUGGUGUAAGACU
rnacentral:rRNA from 1 species